rnacentral:rRNA from 1 species
UACGUAGGGGGCUAGCGUUGUCCGGAAUCAUUGGGCGUAAAGCGCGUGUAGGCGGUCCGGUAAGUCCGCUGUGAAAGUCGGGGGCUCAACCCUCGAAUGCCGGUGGAUACUAUCGGGCUAGAGUGCGGAAGAGGCGAGUGGAAUUCCUGGUGUAGCGGUGAAAUGCGCAGAUAUCAGGAGGAACACCAAUUGCGAAGGCAGCUCGCUGGGACGUAACUGACGCUGAGACGCGAAAGCGUGGGGAGCAAACAGG